AUUUUUCUAGUAUAAUUUAGUACAACUAACUUCCAAUUAGUAAGUUUGAAAUAUCAAGAAAAAUA
rnacentral:tRNA from 1 species